UAAAGCCCCGAAUUUGUAGCAUUUGCCCACGUCUGUGGUGUCAGUUAAUACUCCUGUUAUGGCCAAUUUCUAACUGCCUGGGAUGAACAAAUGGUUCACAAAAUCCUUGAAAAUGUAAUAGCACUUCCAUGCCAGGGCCAGCCUGCUCCAGCACUGUGCACGGCCUGCUUUAACGUCUGGUGGCCAUGGUCACUGUUGUCCCCCUCUGGGCACAGCCUGUGCAGAAGACAGAGGGAAGGCCCAGGGAGCGAUGUGUGACACCCUGUCCGGCUCCUGGAACCAUCGCUGAUUGGUGUAUGGGAGGGUCACCCCCCAGGGAGGCCAUUCCAUUGUCUGGACAAUGCCAUAUGUCUUGGCAUAAAGAAAUAAGUAGAGCCGAAACCGUUGACCAGAAUCCCUCCUGGGAGCUUGAGGAAAGGAAUCCCAUGUAUGUUUUGCCAGAGGCAGGAACUAAAAAGGGUGCCGUUUGAGAGCUGAACCCAUGACAGACUGAAGUCACACAGCAGCCGAAGAUGUGAUUG